AUGAACCCCUUCAAUUUUUCCCGUUCUAGUUCCUCUAGUUCCUCUAGUUCUGAUGAAAGAAGAUCAUCACGAGCAAUAAUUGAUCAGGAGAUAGAUGAUUUCUUGACCAAUAUUGCUCAACCACUUGCUCCAACUCUUAUAUCAAAUGUAACUCCAACACCAAGGAAUAGAAGAGCAAAAGUGAUUGAUAAUGAAGAAGGUCAUUCACGGCCUAAUCGAGGUAGGGUGGAAGGUCAUAGAAGAUUGUUCAAUGAUUAUUUUGCUGAUCAACCAGUCUAUCCAGCUCGUUUAUUUCGCCGAAGAUUUCGAAUGCAGCGACAUGUCUUUGUUCGGAUUAAGGAUGGUGUCGUUGCAAGUGAUGAAUGGUUCACUCAAAAAAGAGAUGCUACGGGUCAGUUAGGUUUAUCGCCCCUACAAAAGUGUACAGCGGCUAUUCGAAUGCUUGCAUACGGGGUAGCGGCGGAUUCGCUUGACGAGUAUGUGCGAAUUAGUGAAAGUACAACUCGAAUAGCAUUGAUGAAAUUUACAAAGGGGUCAUCAUGAAAUUUGGUGGGGAGUACUUGAGACGGCCUACUCCAAACGAUUUGGCUAGACUACUCAGAUUCGGUGAAGAACGUGGAUUUCCGGGCAUGGUUGGCAGCAUAGAUUGUAUGCAUUGGGAAUGGAAAAAUUGCCCCACUGCAUGGAAAGGGCAAUUUCAAGGAAGAGGUGGUGUUGCUAGUUUAGUUCUUGAAGCUGUUGCUGAUCGUGACUUAUGGAUAUGGCAUUCUUUCUUCGGGAUACCAGGUUCGUGCAAUGACCUAAAUGUUCUUCACCGAUCUCCAGUGUUUAGGGAUGUUUUAGAAGGUCGAGCACCACCCGUGCAGUUUACGGUGAAUGGUAACCAAUAUGAUAAGGGUUAUUAUCUCACUGAUGGUAUAUAUCCGAAUUGGGCAACAUUCAUUCAGUCAGUUACAUGUCCUCAAACUCUCAAGGACAAGUUAUUUGCUCAACACCAAGAAGGAGCUCGAAAAGAUGUAGAGAGAGCAUUUGGGGUGCUGCAAUCUCGGUUUGCCAUUAUUCGUAGACCAUCCCUCGCAUGGGAUGAGGAAAUUCUCAAUGACAUCAUGUUGUCUUGCAUUAUCAUGCACAACAUGAUUGUGGAAGAUGAACGAGAUACAUAUGCACACUACGCAGAUAAUACCGAAUUCACUACCAACACAAGUAAAAAUGGGGACGAAUUUGAAUAUUAUCAUGAUCGAAUCGUAGAUAUCAACCAGUACAUGGCCAAUAGAGAUGCAAUUGAAGAUCAACAUGUGCAUCAUUCCUUGAAACGUGAUUUGGUUGCCAAUAUAUGGCAAAAAUUUGGUGGCAAUGCUAAUUAAGAGCAUUUUAUGUAUUUCUUUCUUAAUUAAUUUUUAUGUUUUUCGUUCUUAGUUAAAUUUUAUGCACUUUUUUUCUUAAUUAAGUUUGUAA